GCUGAGCCAGGAUUGGUGCCUGAUCGAGCCUGCCUGGAGGGAAGACAGGCAUUGACAAGGAACGAUUUGGAAGUACCUGGGGACCUGAUAGACCCUGGCAGUGGGGUGUCUCACCAGAAGAGGAAUAACCCUGCGAGGGGAGAGGGAGCCCUGUGAGCUUAAUGUUCCAGUCCUUCCAGUCCCCCAUGUGCCCUAGAAAUUAUCCAGGGACUCAGGUCCCCUGGAAACUGCAGCCCAAGAGAUCAUGGACAUCUCCACAGAGGCUUCGCUCUUCAGCAGCAGUGCUUCACUGGGACCACGCUGCCAGAGCUCUGCCCUGUAGAGAGUCCCAGGCACGGAGGGGUUAAGGAUAAGCAGAUCCCAUGAGGCUCUGGAAUUCUCUUUGGCUCUAUUUCCAAAACAAAUGCUUCAAUUCUCUUUGUAAAUAAAUACAAAGAAACCAACUGCCAGCGACUCUGCCAUAAAGAGUCAGUGGGAGUGUAGGAGGGAGG